rnacentral:rRNA from 1 species
GAUGAACGCUGACAGCAUGCUUAACACAUGCAAGUCAACUUGAACUUCGGUUUGGGUGGCGGACGGGUGAGUAACGCGUAAAGAACUUGCCUCACAGAUAGGGACAACAUUUGGAAACGAAUGCUAAUACCUGAUAUUAUGAUUAUAUGGCAUCGUAUAAUUAUGAAAGCUAUAUGCGCUGUGAGAGAGCUUUGCGUCCCAUUAGCUAGUUGGAGAGGUAACGGCUCACCAAGGCGAUGAUGGGUAGCCGGCCUGAGAGGGUGAUCGGCCACAAGGGGACUGAGACACGGCCCUUACUCCUACGGGAGGCAGCAGUGGGGAAUAUUGGACAAUGGACCAAGAGCCUGAUCCAGCAAUUCUGUGUGCACGAUGAAGUUUUUCGGAAUGUAAAGUGCUUUCAGUUGGGAAGAAAAAAAUGACGGUACCAACAGAAGAAGUGACGGCUAAAUACGUG